rnacentral:rRNA from 1 species
GGGAAUCGGCAGCUACACAUGCAGUCGAGGGGCAGCGGGGAAAAGCUUGCUUUUUUGCCGGCGACCGGCGCACGGGUGCGGAACGCGUAUGGAACCUGCCCCUGUCAGGGGAAUAGCCCAGGGAAACUUGGAUUAAUGCCCCAUGGUACCGCGAUAUCGCAUGAUAUUGUGGUUAAAGAUUUAUCGGACAGGGAUGGCCAUGCGUACCAUUAGCUUGAUGGUGGGGUAACGGCCCACCAUGGCAACGAUGGUUAGGGGCCCUGAGAGGGGGAUCCCCCACACUGGUACUGAGACACGGACCAGACUCCUACGGGAGGCAGCAGUGAGGAAUAUUGGACAAUGGUCGGGAGACUGAUCCAGCCAUGCCGCGUGCAGGAUGACUGCCCUAUGGGUUGUAAACUGCUUUUAUACGGGAAGAAACGCACCUACGUGUAGGUGUCUGACGGUACCGUAAGAAUAAGGACCGGCUAACUCCGUGCCAGCAGCCGCGGUAAUACGGAGGGUCCGAGCGUUAUCCGGAAUCAUUGGGUUUAAAGGGUCCGUAGGCGGGCCGUUAAGUCAGGGGUGAAAGUCUGCGGCUCAACCGUAGAAUUGCCUUUGAUACUGGCGGUCUUGAGUCAUGGUGGGGUUGCCGGAACAUGUGGUGUAGCGGUGAAAUGCAUAGAUAUCACAUAGAACACCGAUCGCGAAGGCAGGUGACCAACCAUGUA